AGAGGAUGGAAUGCUUCACCAGGAGACACAAGAAUAAUUUCCUUGACCUGGGAGUUAAGACUGCCACCCAGCCACCUUGUGCUCUCCAUGCUGCUGAUUCAACAGGCAAAUAAGGAAGUUAUGGUGUGGGCUACAGUGAUUGAUCUGACUAACAAGAGGGAAAUUGCUCCACCAUGGGGGUGAGGGAGAGUACAUCUGGAAUACAGAAGUUCCCUUAGGACACCCUUAGUGUUCCCACACAUUGCGAUUAAGGCCAGUGGAAAACUACAAUAACUCAGUUCAGGCGGAACAACUCAUGGGGCAGAAUCUUCAAGGAAUGAAGAUUUGAGUCCUUCUACCAGGUUUUGCAGAGUGCCUCCAGAAAUAAAAGUGUUACAAAAGAAUCACUUCAGAAAACCUACACUUAGAGAGUCCAUUUGAAAAUUGCCCUAUUUGAAAUGAAGUGGAGAUCAGUAAUAACAAGGACUUCCCCAUAUAACCCAAGGUCCUACUGGGUUAGUGUGAUCUUCUGCGGAAGGCUGCAGCUGCUGUCAGGAGGCCCUCUGUCUACACUCCUCUCUGGAGAAGUGUCCCUUUUAAACUGAAGCAUAGUGAGAACAAGUGUAAAGCACAACACAGACGGAAGAUUGCACCUUAGCUCACUGCCCCGUGCACCCCGGUUACACCGUCUAAGAAAACACUCUGGAUUCAAUCCUUGGAAAAUUUGUCUCCAUGAGGUCAUACAGCUGCUUGAGGUUGCUCGGAGAGUAAGAAGCAGAAUGAGAACUAGAACAGAAGCUCACUUUGGCCUGAAGGCUCAUGUGCUGAGCAUCUUCCCUUGUCUGUCUCCACCCCUAGCCUGGUGCCCAGCAUGUAGAAGACCUUCAUCCUAGAUGCAAUGGGAUUAAACUUGGAGAAAAUGGGAUUAAACUUGGACAAACACUACCUAUUUGGACUUGUGAUGAUGGCUUUCAAACUUCUUAAAGCAAUGAAGUAUUUUUUCCAGAAGAAACCUUACACAAGAAGCCCAGCACACUGAGUCAAGCAUAUGUAGGUGGAAGAUAUCUGGUUGAGACCAAGUAGAGAUAAACCUGUAGAUUCAACUGUGCCACCACAGUGAAUUCUAAGAAUCCACUGACUGUGAUCUGUAAGCUCCUACUCCACAGGAGGUCAGGGCACACAGCUUGAAACCGGAAGGCAGAAGAGUGACAGGGAAGGGUCAUGGACUCUGAAAUUAGAGCUAUCUGUGUUUUAAUACUAGUUCCAAUAGGCACAUGGUCUUGGAUAAAUGGUUUAAAUUAUCUGAGUCUCAAUUUCUUUCUCUGCAAAAAGGGAUGAUUAGUACAUAUGUAAUAGGGUUUUUAUAGAAAAUUGUAUAACUUGUUAAACACACAUGUACUAAGUGCUUGGUGCCCAGUAUGCACUGAAUAAAUGCUAGCUCCUUGCCUUUCAUCUCUAUGACCCUUCCCAAAUCUCUCAGCCCCAUAUUGCUUCAUGUAGUGUGUGUAUAUUUGGGAAAAUUUGUGUGCAUAUUUACAGAUGGGAUCCUACUCUUCUAUUGACAGACUGUCUUUUCAGAUGUGCCUUACUUUCAUUGCAUUGGUUUUUCAACUGAAAGUGAACAUAAAGGUUUUAAGCAUGCC